CAAACCAAAGCUGGCGACCGGCGCACGGGUGAGUAACACGUAUCCAACCUGCCUCAUACUCGGGGGAUAGCCUUUCGAAAGAAAGAUUAAUAUCCGAUAGCAUAUAUUUCCCGCAUGGGUUUUAUAUUAAAGAAAUUCGGUAUGAGAUGGGGAUGCGUUCCAUUAGUUUGUUGGGGGGGUAACGGCCCACCAAGACUACGAUGGAUAGGGGUUCUGAGAGGAAGGUCCCCCACAUUGGAACUGAGACACGGUCCAA
rnacentral:rRNA from 1 species